rnacentral:misc_RNA from 1 species
AUGGAGGAACAGAAGUUGUAGAGGUAAAAAGUUUUCAGAAACCUAAUUACAACAUUUUCUGCUUAUAGGCUAAACUAAUAAAAAGUGAAAUUCUACUUUCCUCGUUGGGAAUGUUUUUUGGUGAUACCUAAGCUAGGGAUGAGCUGAACAUUUGGUUUAUUCAGUCUGUUUGGUUGAAAUUUUAAAAUAAACUUAACCAAAUUAAUUUUAAUCACCAAAGUGAACUGAAUUAUCUUAAAAACCAA